rnacentral:rRNA from 1 species
UGAACCGCAUGGUUCAGACAUAAAAGGUGGCUUGGGCUACCACUUACAGAUGGACCCGCGGCGCAUUAGCUAGUUGGUGAGGUAACGGCUCACCAAGGCGACGAUGCGUAGCCGACCUGAGAGGGUGAUCGGCCACACUGGGACUGAGACACGGCCCAGACUCCUACGGGAGGCAGCAGUAGGGAAUCUUCCGCAAUGGACGAAAGUCUGACGGAGCAACGCCGCGUGAGUGAUGAAGGUUUUCGGAUCGUAAAGCUCUGUUGUUAGGGAAGAACAAGUGCCGUUCAAAUAGGGCGGCACCUUGACGGUACCUAACCAGAAAGCCACGGCUAACUACGUGCCAGCAGCCGCGGUAAUACGUAGGUGGCAAGCGUUGUCCGGAAUUAUUGGGCGUAAAGGGCUCGCAGGCGGUUUCUUAAGUCUGAUGUGAAAGCCCCCGGCUCAACCGGGGAGGGUCAUUGGAAACUGGGGAACUUGAGUGCAGAAGAGGAGAGUGGAAUUCCACGUGUAGCGGUGAAAUGCGUAGAGAUGUGGAGGAACACCAGUGGCGAAGGCGACUCUCUGGUCUGUAACUGACGCUGAGGAGCGAAAGCGUGGGGAGCGAACAGGAUUAGAUACCCUGGUAGUCCACGCCGUAAACGAUGAGUGCUAAGUGUUAGGGGGUUUCCGCCCCUUAGUGCUGCAGCUAACGCAUUAAGCA